rnacentral:piRNA from 1 species
UGAACAUGAACAUCCUUCACCAGGAAGAGC